rfam:Aedes aegypti strain Liverpool supercont1.13 genomic scaffold, whole genome shotgun sequence.
GGCUCGGUAGCUUAGUUGGUGAAGCACUCGUCUGGCAUACAAGAAUCCUGGGUUUGAGUCACAUCUGAGCUC